CACGUAGGGUGCGAGCGUUGUCCGGAAUUAUUGGGCGUAAAGAGCUCGUAGGCGGUGUGUCGCGUCGGCCGUGAAAACCUGCAGCUUAACUGUGGGCUUGCGGUCGAUACGGGCAUCACUGGAGUUCGGCAGGGGAGACUGGAAUUCCUGGUGUAGCGGUGAAAUGCGCAGAUAUCAGGAGGAACACCGGUGGCGAAGGCGGGUCUCUGGGCCACUACUGACGCUGAGAAGCGAAAGCAUGGGGAGCGAACAGG
rnacentral:rRNA from 1 species